CCUCCCUCCCUCCCUUCAUUCCCUCCCUCCCUCUCUCCUUCCUUCUUUCCUUCUCUCCUCCCCGAGCGAGAGAGCGAGCGAGCUCCCCCUGCUGCUGCGCUUUGGUGGGGACACUUCGCCCACUUUGGCCCCGCUCUGGACGGAGAAAGCGAAGUACUAAGGCUCUUGACUCCCAGGAUUCUAUGGCCUUCAGUCAAAGCGUUGUCAAACCGCACUGAUUCCCCAGUUUAGAUGCCCCCUGAGAGUAAUUUAGCAAGUUAGGCUUUAAUUGGGUUGCUGUGAGUUUUCCGGGCUUGAUGGCCAUGUUCUAGAAGCAUUCUCUCCUGACGUUUCACCCACAUCUAUGGCAGACAUCCCCAGAGGCUGAGAGGUAUACAUAGAUGUGGGCGAAACAUAAGGAGAGAAUGCUUCUGGAACAUGGCCAUACAGCCCGGAAAACACACAACAACCCUUUUCUUGGAAAUUAGGCAAGUGGGGUUUAUAUAUCUAUAGAAUCAUAGAAUAGUAGAGUUGGAAGAGACCUCACAGGCCAUCCAGUCCAACCCCCUGCCAAGAAGCAGGAAAUCGCAUUCAAAGCACCCCCGACAGAUGGUCAUCCAGCCUCUGCUUAAAAGCCUCCAAAGAAGGAGCCUCCACCACAGUCCGGGGCAGAGAGUUCCACUGCCAAACAGCUCUCACAGUCAGGAAGUUCUUCCUGAUGUUCAGGUGGAAUCUCCUUUCCUGUAGUUUGAAGCCAUUGUUCCGCGUCCUAGAAAACAAGCUUGCUCCCUCCUCCCUAUGACUUGCCCUCACAUAUUUGUACAUAAUUAUCAUGUCUCCUCUCAGCCUUCUCUUCUGCAGGCUAAACAUGCCCAGUUCUUUAAGCCUCUCCUCAUAGGGCUUGUUCUCCAGACCUUUGAUCAUUUUAGUUGCCCUCCUCUGGACGCUUUCCAGCUUGUCAACAUCUCCCUUCAAUUGUGGUGCCCAGAAUUGGACGCAGUAUUCCAGGUGUGGUCUGACCAAGGCAGAAUAGAGGGGGAGCAUGACUUCCCUGGAUCUAGACACUAUACUCCUAUUGAUGCAGGCCAAAAUCCCUUUGGCUUUCUUAGCAGCCGCAUCACAUUGUUGGCUCAUGUUUAGCUUGUUGUCCACGAGGACUCCAAGGUCUUUUUCACACAUACUGCUGUCGAGACAGGCGUCCCCCAUUCUGUAUCUUUGCAUUCCAUUUUUUCUGCCGAAAUGAAGUAUCUUGCAUUUGUCCCUGUUGAACUUCAUUUUGUUAGUUUCGGCCCAUCUCUCUAGUCUGUUAAGAUCGUUUUGAAUUCUGCUCCUAUCUUCUGGAGUGUUGGCUAUCCCACCCAGCUUGGUGUCAUCUGCAAACUUGAUGAUCGUGCCUUCUAACCCUUCGUCUAAGUCGUUAAUAAAGAUGUUAAACAGAACCGGGCCAAGGACGGAACCGUGCAGCACUCCACUCGUGACUUUAUUCCAAGAUGAAGACGACGCAUUGGUUUCACUAUCCUCUCCACUAGCACCUGGAAAAGCGUCAUUUUCAGUCUGCUGCUCUGAGAAAAUUGGUGAAAGGUCUUACAGAAUCUCAGAAUCACAGAAUUGGAAGAAACCUCAUGGGCCAUCCAGUCCAACCCCCUGCCGGAAAUCACAUUGAAAGCACCCCUGACAGAUGGCCAUCCAGCUUCUGCUUAAAAGCCUCCAAAGAAGGAGCCUCAACCACACUCCGGGCAGAGAAUUUCAGUGCUGAACAGCUCUCACAGUGAGGAAGUUAUACAAUAAUAUGUGACCUUGCUCAGACGUCUCUUCUGAAUUUAACUCUGGGCCUAGCUCAUAAUCAGGAGCAUCAUCCCCAUUUCCAUUAUGCAUAUCAACAUGAACAUCAUUCCCAUCAUGAACUUCAUCCUGACCAUCAUUGACACAAUCACAGGCUGAACAGGCUGACAUACAACACCUGGCAACUUCUUGGGUGGCAUUGCAACCUGGAAGAAAGGGUGAAAGGGAAAUGUGGCCACCAGGCAGUAGGCAGGCACGGGGAUGUCCAGUCAGCCAGUCAGAGGAGAAUCUAUCGAACUGCGGCCAUAUCCCCAGAGAAGCGGAGUAGCAGGCGAUGGAAGGAAGAAGGCAAGCAGGCCAACCAUUUCCCAGGGCUGAUCACAGCUUGCACCACCCAAGGAGAGAAUGAAUGAGGGAGAGAGAAGAAGGCAGCUGCAGAGGCCACCAAGCCAGAUCAAAUGAUUUUACUGAUCUUAUAGGGCUGAUGGGCCAGACAUUCCCCAUUCCUGCCCUAAGAUGAUGGAUAAGAUGCCCUCUACUUCUGUUCCACGUGUAGCCGUUAUUUCCUAUCUUUUCCAAACCUUCACAUCUUCCAGUAAUGGAGUUAUGAUUGAGAUCUAGAAAAUGCUAAAUCCAUGAUUCCCUAACUCUUUUAUAUGUGUAUUGCUCUCAAACUCCCCAGAGCUUUUAAAAUACUCCUCAAAGCCUUUCCUAACUAAUUAUGAGGGUACUUUGUGCCAUGGAGAGCAUUACUGUGACUAGAUAUUGAAAAUCUGAGAAAAUAUCCCCUAUUUCUUUUAUGGAUUUUAUGGGAAAAUGUAAUCUUUGCUUGGGUUAUUCACUGUAAAUAAAAUGCCCACAGGGAAAAUCUCUCUGUGGGAAAUAUAUCCCUUCUCCUCAGUGGCUGUAAUGCUUUUAAAUGUAUGUUUUUUCUAAUCCAACCACUCUUGACAAUUCCCUGUAUCUUCUGAUAAGAGUAUGCUCCAGCAAAUAAAUAAAGCUAUGUCCCGUAGCAUAAUUA